GCUGGGCAUGGUGGUGCAUGCCUGUAAUCCCCAGUGGCUUAGGAGGCUGAGGCAGGAGGAUUGCAAGUUCAAUGCCAGCCUCAGCAAUUUAGCGAGACCUUGUCUCUA
rnacentral:sRNA from 1 species